rnacentral:misc_RNA from 1 species
UGGCUCUCGCAUCGAUGAAGAACGCAGCGAAAUGCGAUAAGUAAUGUGAAUUGCAGAAUUCAGUGAAUCAUCGAAUCUUUGAACGCACCUUGCGCUCCCCGGCAUUCCGGGGAGCAUGCCUGUUUGAGUAUCGUGAAAACCAUCAACCUCACCGUUGACCCGGUGAUGGAUUGGACUUGGAUGCUUGCUGGGGCCUCGGUCGCCUCGGCUCGUCUCAAAUGCAGCAGUCGAUUCACUUGACCUCGACCGCUCGGUGUGAUAGUUACAUCUACGCCGGGUUUCCGGGAGGACAAGCGGCUUCUCAACCGUCUCCUUUGGGGGGGGACAAAUGCUUUUCAAACCUCUGAUCUCAAAUCAGGUAGGACUACCCGCUGA